rnacentral:rRNA from 1 species
UACGGAGGGUGCAAGCGUUGAUCGGAAUUACUGGGCGUAAAGCGCACGCAGGUGGCUGAGUCAGUCGAUUGUGAAAGCCCUGGGCUUAACCUGGGAAUUGCAGUCGAUACUACUCAGCUAGAGUAUGGGAGAGGGUAGUGGAAUUCCCGGUGUAGCGGUGAAAUGCGUAGAUAUCGGGAGGAACAUCAGUGGCGAAGGCGGCUACCUGGCCCAAUACUGACACUCAGGUGCGACAGCGUGGGGAGCAAACAGG